CCUACGGGAGGCAGCAGUGAGGAAUAUUGGUCAAUGGACGAGAGUCUGAACCAGCCAAGUAGCGUGAAGGAUGACUGCCCUAUGGGUUGUAAACUUCUUUUAUAUGGGAAUAAAACGUUCCACGUGUGGGAUUUUGUAUGUACCCUAUGAAUAAGGAUCGGCUAACUCCGUGCCAGCAGCCGCGGUAAUACGGAGGAUCCGAGCGUUAUCCGGAUUUAUUGGGUUUAAAGGGAGCGUAGGUGGAUUGUUAAGUUAGUUGUGAAAGUUUGCGGCUCAACCGUAAAAUUGCAGUUGAAACUGGCAGUCUUGAGUACAGUAGAGGUGGGCGGAAUUCGUGGUGUAGCGGUGAAAUGCUUAGAUAUCACGAAGAACUCCGAUUGCGAAGGCAGUUCACUGGACUGCAACUGACACUGAGGCUCGAAAGUGUGGGUAUCAAACAGGAUUAGAUACCCUUGUAGUC
rnacentral:rRNA from 1 species